rnacentral:rRNA from 1 species
AACGCGAAGAACCUUACCUGGGCUCGAACGGCUUAAGAACAUCUUUGGAAACAGAGACUUCCCGCAAGGGACUUGAGUCGAGGUGCUGCAUGGCUGUCGUCAGCUCGUGUCGUGAGAUGUUGGGUUAAGUCCCGCAACGAGCGCAACCCUUGUCCUGUGUUGCCACUCCGUAAGGAAGCACUCGCAGGAGACCGCCAGCGAUAAGCUGGAGGAAGGUGGGGAUGAUGUCAAGUCAUCAUGGCCUUUAUGUCCAGGGCUACACACGUGCUACAAUGGGCGGUACAAAGCGCUGCAAACCCGCGAGGGGGAGCUAAUCGCAAAAAACCGUUCUCAGUUCGGAUUGCAGGCUGCAACUCGCCUGCAUGAAGCUGGAAUCGCUAGUAAUGGCGUAUCAGAAUGAUGCCGUGAAUACGUUCCCGGGCCUUGUA